CGAAUUAAAAUCAUCCAUCAUAUAACAUCACAUAAUACAUUGCCCAGAUUAACAUAACACAAUAAAACAUCUCUUGAAGACAUUUCCUUACACAUGAAUAUAGCAAGGACGAACAUAAUUUCACAAUAGAACAAUGGCACAUCUGCUACUUCCCUACAGUACAAUGGACUUCAUUCCACUCUUCUAUGAGACAUGCUCGAGAUGAAGUUGUCAACCUACAAGAACAUUACACUGUACAUGAAUCAAUCAAAAGAAAAGAAAUAUAAAAAAAUAUUAGAAAUAAAAAGAUUUGUGUUCAGCCUGAAGACUAUGUUAAAAAUCCCGUGAUAUAAAUUCUGGAGUAUAAUUAGUCCAACCUAAACUAGUCACUGAGUCUGAAAAUUAAACUUCAAACUAGAUUGUUCCAGGAAAAUAUGGACAAAGAAAAUGGAGACAAGAAAAUUCAAUAUCUUUUUGGUAUUUUCGCUUUACUGGAGGAAUUUAAGCACUGACACAAGAAAGAGUCAAUGACACAAUAAUUAGCAGACAUGUAAGAUAAUACAAAACAAGCUACUCCACAUUACUGUGAUAACCAAGUGCAAACCAGGGUGUAAGAACAUUACCGUGAGAUUUGAUCUUAGAGAAAUACAUUUUAACAAGAAGAUUACCGUGAGCCUUGAUCUUAGAAAAUUACACUUUUAAUAAGAAUUCUAAGUUAACAACAAUAUUAUCCAAGUGUGCAGCAAAGUGUAAGAACAGUACCGUGAGAUACAAAAUUUAAAGUUGAGCAGAACUAAAAAUACAAAGAAACUAUAUGAUAUAAUCACAAUUAUAAAGAAACUAUAGUACAACAACAGUUCACUAGCGUGUGAAUUUUUUAACACAUUCCACAAAUCUAUAGAAGUCACACAUGCCACAACAAAAUCGAGAACACGGACCAUACAGACCUCGUGAUAUACCAUCAAACUUCUUAGGUCCAAACUCUGUGUGAUAUACCAUCCUCGCCGCCGGCCAGACAAACUGCUCGCUCAGGGCAGAAAAUAGAGCGACGUUUCAGCACGAACAGAGGAACACAUAGGUUUCACGCUACCAAUGUCAAAUAAAAAAUGUUUUAUUUUUGUCCUUUUCCAACUGAGUAAUGGCCACACAUGCACAACACCCUUAUUACAUGGUCAGGGCCAACUCGACUCUAUUAGCUUUUGGUUACAAAGCAAAUUGUGUAACACUUACUAGAAUAUACACCAACACCAUUAGGUUUCCUCAAUUAUUCUACUCAUUCUAAUCACUGAAAAAAUCAUGAAUUUGUACAACACUUACUAGAAUAUGGGAUCUAUCAUCUGCAAAAGAGAGAGAUGCAUGUUGCGGGGAGGAGAAGAAAGACCUUCUCGCUCUCGAGGUGAGGGGGAGGUGCAGCUAAUGUGGGGCUGGAGGUCCAUGGUGUAUUGGACCAUGGAGCCGGACAGCCGUUGGUCCGUCUUCUCCACCUCGUCAGGU
rnacentral:lncRNA from 1 species